rnacentral:rRNA from 1 species
UACGGGGGGGGCAAGCGUUGUUCGGAAUUACUGGGCGUAAAGGGCGCGUAGGCGGCCUACUAAGUCAGACGUGAAAUCCCCCGGCUUAACCUGGGAACUGCGUCUGAUACUGGAAGGCUUGAGGAUGGGAGAGGGAUGUAGAAUUCCAGGUGUAGCGGUGAAAUGCGUAGAUAUCUGGAGGAAUACCGGUGGCGAAGGCGGCAUCCUGGACCAUUACUGACGCUGAGGCGCGAAAGCUAGGGGAGCAAACGGG